rnacentral:rRNA from 1 species
AUUGAACGCUGGCGGAAUGCUUUACACAUGCAAGUCGAACGGCAGCACGGGGCAACCUGGUGGCGAGUGGCGAACGGGUGAGUAAUACAUCGGAACGUGCCCAAUCGUGGGGGAUAACGUAGCGAAAGUUACGCUAAUACCGCAUACGAUCUACGGAUGAAAGCGGGGGAUCGCAAGACCUCGCGCGAAUGGAGCGGCCGAUGUCAGAUUAGGUAGUUGGUGGGGUAAAGGCUCACCAAGCCGACGAUCUGUAGCUGGUCUGAGAGGACGACCAGCCACACUGGGACUGAGACACGGCCCAGACUCCUACGGGAGGCAGCAGUGGGGAAUUUUGGACAAUGGGCGCAAGCCUGAUCCAGCCAUUCCGCGUGCAGGAUGAAGGCCUUCGGGUUGUAGACUGCUUUUGUACGGAACGAAACGGUUCUCUCUAGUACAGGGGGCUAAUGACGGUACCGUAAGAAUAAGCACCGGCUAACUACGUGCCAGCCGCCGCGGUAACAC